UGUAACAUCAGAGAGAAUAUUUGAAUAUUUAAAAACUAAUGUAAAACAGCAUAUCUCUACAAAUAUAAUGUGUGUCAGUUCAGGUAUGUGUUUAUUUCUGGCCGGGCCUUUUUUAAAACUAAAUGUGUCAUUUUUUCUGACUGGUUGCAAAGAAACUCAGACAAAACAGACCAAAAAUGUGUCAGAUUUUAUUUACAAACCCAGCCAGCCUGGAGGUUUGAAUGAAACAGUUACAUAUCUGAUUAAAAGUAACUGUGUUAUGAAGGGAUGAAGCUGAACUCCAGCUUUAAUGUUUAAGUUGAAGCAGCUCAGCCUCAGACACCUUCUGCUGGUGCAAGCCUCAUCAUUUGUCUGAUUAGUUACAGCUGUGAGCCUGAUAAGUUUGUAAAAAUUCAGAGGAAAACUGCAGAAGAAGAAAGUCACUGAACAAACACAGCCUUCUGAAUGAAACCAUGUUAUUAAAACAGCAGAUUUAGUUUUCCACCCAAUAAACCGCUGCAUGAAUCUGUUGGAGGACUGAGAUGAGAGACGUCUUCCUUUCAGUGAACCAGCAGCGUUCCGGAUGAUGACCUCGGCUUCCUCGACUCUACCCUGGGAAAGCAACCAGCGAGGAGACUCUGGGAUGAACCUGACUCGUUUUGCAACGUUGUGGACAGAAGGAGAGAGAAAAUGAAGACUUCAGUAAUGAUGCAAAGCUGUUAUGGUAGGUGAUCUGAUUGAGUUUUGCACAGUCAUAAAUGCACACUCUUAUUAAAAGCAUUUUUAUCAAAACAGAAUCAAAACAAGGAAAUUAGAAGUUUGUGAAUCAGGAAGAAAUAUUACAAAAGGAAUCGAACCUGAUAAAGUUUUGUUUCACAUUUUCUGUACCUAUACUAAUGUAAAUCCAUGACAUUAUUUCUGCAUUUUUUUUCUGUGCAUACGAGUCAUAUAAGUUAUCAGAAAAGUCAUUUGAAUUUAUAAUAUGAAGCAUCAUCUACAAACACUAGCAGAAAACAACCAGUCAUGUUUCUGUUCCGAGCAGCUAUUUUAACCUUUGAACAAUAGAAAAUACAUUUAAUAUUUUUCAAAUUGCUACACCUUUGUAUUUGCAUUUGUUGAGGUGACUGAGCUAAUCUGUUAGGUUUUUAUGAAUGAUGAAGUUCCACAUCACAGUAAAAGUAUUUGAUGUUUAUGCUGCACUUUUGCUCAUCACUGAUGGUUUAAACAUGUUUAAUUUAAUCAAUAAAUGAAAUGAAAAUCA